rnacentral:rRNA from 1 species
CCUACGGGGGGCAGCAGUGAGGAAUAUUGGUCAAUGGACGAGAGUCUGAACCAGCCAAGUAGCGUGAAGGAUGACUGCCCUAUGGGUUGUAAACUUCUUUUAUAUGGGAAUAAAAUGUUCCACGUGUGGGAUUUUGUAUGUACCAUAUGUAUAAGGAUCGGCUAACUCCGUGCCAGCAGCCGCGGUAAUACGGAGGAUCCGAGCGUUAUCCGGAUUUAUUGGGUUUAAAGGGAGCGUAGGUGGAUUGUUAAGUCAGUUGUGAAAGUUUGCGGCUCAACCGUAAAAUUGCAGUUGAAACUGGCAGUCUUGAGUACAGUAGAGGUGGGCGGAAUUCGUGGUGUAGCGGUGAAAUGCUUAGAUAUCACGAAGAACUCCGAUUGCGAAGGCAGUUCACUGGACUGCAACUGACACUGAGGCUCGAAAGUGUGGGUAUCAAACAGGAUUAGAUACCCGUGUAGUC